GACUGGAUAGCUCAGUUGGUAGAACAUGAGAUUAUUAAUCUCAGGGUUGUGGGUUUGAGACCCAUGGUGGGCA